rnacentral:piRNA from 1 species
UCUGCUGACCUUUUUAUUAUG